UCUGGGAUAAACAGGGAAGGUUAAGUGCACCUAGUGCCUGGUGUCUGGGAGAUCAUGAGGAAAGGCUUCACUGUUACUCUCAGGGUCAACUUGGUGUGAUGCACGCACCAACUCAGCAGCCAAGUUUAUCUGGGGUAUGUCAAUCUCCCAAGUUACAGAAACUUCCCAGAAGUAGCAACAGGACCCAGGAGCUCACAGCUCUGGGUUUUCACUUAAUCCUUGUACAGUGUUGCCUCGACUUCUCCAAGUUUCUGGUGUUUAUGAAGACCCAUAACAGCUGGCUGCAAACUCAACUCCUGAGAAUCGUUUCUGGGAGAAUGCCGAAGACUGCAUUUCAACUCCAAGAAUGGUAGCUGCUGUCAAGAGGCAAAGCAGAAGUGUUCUGUGGGUCUGGAGUCUUUGGAGCCUGAGAAAGCAGAGAGAACAACAAGGGAUUGAAGACAAGAAAGGGGCUGUGAGAUAUAAGCAAUCUGAAGAGUGAGUUACGGCUUCAGCUAGGCUUCCAGGGAGCAUGGGAGAUAAAUCUGGAGAUGAUAGCAGAGGUCACGUCAUGGAAGGCCUGAAAUGGCAUUGUGCUAUGUUACAGGAAUAUAGAAACUAUCGAAGAAGAGCUUAACAGCCCUCAAAUUCUUGACUAGCUAAUUAUGCCCAAGGCCAAGUGCUUCAUGCUUGAGAAUGCAGAGACAAACAAGACAGAGUCCCAACCAUGCAGACUUCUGAUCUUACAGGAGAGUUCUGAGGAAUUCACCUCCUACACCUAACAGUUGAAGAUUUUAUGUAUUAACUGAAGUGCUCUUAUGAUCAUGGACAUGAAGGCUACUCAAAAAACUUCUUCCUUCAGUCUCUUUUGUUUGAGAACACAUCAAAAAACUUGAAGAUACGGUGCCAGAACUUGAAGAUACAGAGAUGAACAGUCUGUAUUUUAAAAUUCUGAAUUCUAAGCUCAUUCAAUACUGUAUUGAUUUCUUAUGAAUAAAAAAAUCAAGAAAAAUCUGUAAA